AUGAGGGUCUCGGUGAGGGAAUGGUGGACAGGAAGCAUUCAUAUCCGUAGCGAAUCCCCCAAGGCGCUUGCUUCGCUGAUGAUGCUCAUCUCCUGGGAGAUUUGGUCGGAGCGCAAUGCUAGAAUUUUCCGCAAUACGGCCGCUCCGUCGGCGGCCCUUGUUAGUAAGAUUAAAGAGGAGUUGUCUCUUUGGGCUUUGGCGGGCGCCAAGCACUUGAGUAUUGUAAUGGCGCGAGAGUAG
rnacentral:rRNA from 1 species